rnacentral:rRNA from 1 species
UAGGGAAUAUUGCGCAAUGGGGGAAACCCUGACGCAGCCACGCCGCGUGAGUGAGGAAGGCCUUCGGGUUGUAAAGCUCUGUCGGGAGGGAAAAAUGGUAGAUGCAUUAAUACGGCAUCUAAUUGAUGGUACCUCCGAAGGAAGCACCGGCUAACUUCGUGCCAGCAGCCGCGGUAAUACGAAGGGUGCAAGCGUUGUUCGGAUUUAUUGGGCGUAAAGAGCUCGUAGGCGGGAAUGAAAGUCAGGUGUGAAAUCCCGGGGCCUAACUCCGGAACUGCGCCUGAAACUCCAUUUCUAGAAUGUCGGAGAGGGAAGUGGAAUAUCGCAUGUAGGGGUAAAAUCCGUAGAGAUGCGAUGGAACACCAGAGGCGAAGGCGACUUCCUGGACGACUAUUGACGC